rnacentral:lncRNA from 1 species
UUGUGUUUCAAAAGGAAGUUAUUUAGAGCAACUGCUAAGCAAGAACAUUUAUCAAAGACACUAGUUCUGAAUGAAAAUCAGAUAGCUGCAUAGUCCAACUAGCUAGGAGCUAUGCGUGCUCUUACUAUCUUCAGGUCAAGCUAAUUUCAUGGCACACAUAACUAUAUCCUGAAGCGGCUGAUGCAACCAACUUAGCACUAAUAAACUGAAGAACAACCAAACCACACUUCUUAAGCAAUUGGAGUACAAAUAGUUCUUUUUUUGCUUUAGGCUACCCUCAAACAGAGCAACUCUUCUACAACCUAUUUGGCAAAUAAUGAGAAGAGGGAUAUGAGUUUAUUAGAGGAGGGAAUUAGUAGUAUAUUGGCCAAGGGAAUUAGUUUUUACUCCCAAUUCUUUG